AGUGUAAGAAAACUACACUUCCCAUCAAACCAUUCGGGAUCGGCCUGGGAACGAAUGAGAAGCCGGGAGAGGGCCAUGGCUCUGCCCAAUUAGCGAGCGAAGGGGAGUGGCCAGGCGUUGACGGUGAGAUCAGUGGGCGGGGCUAAGCGACUGUGGAUGACGGCAACCAUGACGGCACGGCUCGGUUGUCUAAACAGUCACAAAGACCUUCUGGCCAUGCCUCCACUGAAGCAGGGGAUGCUGCUGAUGCUGGACCAUCCACAAACGAAUUGCCCCCGUGGAAGCGCAGUCUGAAUGUGUCUUCCAGACCACCACUACAGCCAUCACCACGACGACGCAUACCCAGGUCUCAGCCAUGCCCCCACAGCAACUGCUGGACAGUCCGCCAACCAUGUCACUGCAUUCCCCACAGCUGCCUGUGGACACAAAUCUUCAGGCAAGUCAUUCCGGGCAACUGCAGGAAACAGACAAUGAGGAAACAUUUACCCUCAAUCUCACUGCUGUACCACCGCCAGACCCAACAUCCACACAGUUUGCAACUCUGCCCACUCACCAGACGCUUGAGCAGGAGAGAAGCCCUACCACACCUACAGUAUAGCACAGUCUCAAGACCAGGUAUUUUGGGACAGCUGGUCCACCCAGGAAGCAAAUAAUUUAGAUUGUUUGCGUAGGCAAACACAAUAUAUUUCCAGUCUUGCCCAUCAUGUUCCACGCCUCUGCAGAAGCAACAGCAGACAAACAAAUGAACUCACCCAAAUGGCAAACACCAAUGAGUCAUGGAUGACAAUCACAGGCUCCAUCAAACCUACUUGCAGAUUCCGAGUUGAUCGCUAGCUGCCAUUGUUCGCAGUGCAGCGACCAGGCAAAAAAUCGUCACUUCUGCGCAUGCGUAUGCGGCUCAAUGCGCACGUGCGACGUACUUUCACAAAAGCCGAUGCCGUUUUACACGAGCACUAGCAACGCUUUUCAGUCACACUCUGGCCGCAGAGUGAUUGACAGGAAGUGGGUGUUUCUGGGUGGUAACUGACCGUUUUCGGGGAGUGUGUGUAAAAACGCAGGCAUGUCAGAUACAAAUGCAGGCGUGCCUGGGGAAACACGGGCGUGGCUGGCCAAACGCAGGGCGUGUUUGUGACAUCAAAACAGGAACUAAAUAGUCUGCACUGAUCGCAAGCUAGGAGUAGGUCUGGAGCUACUCUGAAACUACACAAAAUUAUUUUGUAGCCGUUCUGUGAUCCUUUCGUUCGCACUUCGGCUAAGCUAAGAUACACUCCCAGAGGGCGGCGGCUUAGCGUUUGCAUGGCUGCUAAAAGCAGCUAGAGAGUGAACUCGGAAUGAGGGCCAUUGACUGCAACACAAACCACAUAAGACACCAUGGUCAGAAUCAUGGAGAGCCACACGUCUGCAACUAGAGACUAAAAUGUGACUCUGACUACACUUACCCAGCAUCUCACUCAUCAAGGUGAGCACACAAGUUCCAGUUCCUCUACCACAACCCCCUUAGUGACACCUGUAAUGUCCCCUCCCAGACGUUCUGGCCGAACUCAUCCAGACACCAGCGGUAAAGGCCCAUCCACCUCAAGAGGUCAACCUGCAAAAUAAAUUAACAUCAUCAUGUGUUUACAUUUUUCAAUUAAAAUGUGAUGCUAGUUGCAUUUUUGAUUCUGCACUGUCAAAGUCAAAAAUAUUACAUAGAGAGACCAUAUAAACUGCACACAUAUAAGCCGCUAUACUUGCAAAUAUGCGCAGCGAGCACAGCAAACACCAGACAUAAUGGAGAUUUAGAAUUGGCUGAUGAAUUAAUGUCAUGGAUGUGUAUCAUUCGAACCGAACCAGAUAAACACAUCAUGUUUGGUAUUGAAGCAAGCAGAAUGAGGUGUGGGUUAGUUUGAGGCCUGUUGUGUUGUUGUGGGACAUUGCAGCAGAUAGAUAUGAUUAUAUGUAUAAAAGCUAAGAUCAUAUUGUUAGAACAAUGGAUGCUCAAGACAACCUUUUACUAAGUUUUCAGGGCUGAACCUGAUUAGCAUAUACAAAGGAGAAAGAAAGACCCCUCCCCCAGGUACUGGUCAAACAGGAAGGUAGUGGUCAGGUGUGGCCUCAGAGAACAGAUGUAAUGUAGCUACACUCACAGACACACACACAGCUACCUGGCACCAAGCAGCAUGGCAGCUAAAUCCCCAGGACAUCUUCCAAACUAAAGGCUAAGUAUUGAACUUCACAUGGCUAGAUAAGGAAACAGACAGAUUGCUUUCUGGUUUAAAUAGGAUAUUGUAACUUGGUUGUGUGAUUGUUGGGUGUUUGUGGAUACUCUGUGAAGUCUGUGAUGAUUGGAACAGUAUACAAUCUGUAGCAUAGUAUUUGUGGUAUUUGUUUGCCUAUGGAGAUUUAAAAUAGAUUGUGCUGGUUAGUUAUACUAUAUAUCCUGUUAAUCAUAAAUACCACCAUGCAGUUACGUUUGUGUUAAUUACAUUGUGAUCUGGUCUUGUGAUGAAUAUGCUCUGGUUAUUGAGAUACUGAAGUUGUUUGGGAUGUGGAAUUAUGAGAUGGUUCUAGGAAGUUGGAUUACAUUGUGAAAGGUGAUUUAGAUGGUUUGGAAUUGUAAAAUCAGAACAUAUGCAUUGUUUUGAGGCUUGGACAUUUUGGAAUAAAGUGCCAUGUGUUUGGACCUGCAAAUCUAAAAUGGCUGCUGCUGGAUGUCUUCCCCUCCCCCUUUCA